CUACGGGUCGCAGCAGUCGAGAAUCUUCGGCAAUGGACGAAAGUCUGACCGAGCGACGCCGCGUGCGGGAUGAAGGCCUUCGGGUUGUAAACCGCUGUCAGAGGGAAGGAAAUUUUGACCGAUCCUCAAAGGAAGUACGGGCUAAGUUCGUGCCAGCAGCCGCGGUAAGACGAACCGUACAAACGUUAUUCGGAAUCACUGGGCUUAAAGGGUGCGUAGGUGGUCUAUUAAGUUGGGUGUGAAAUCCCUCGGCUCAACCGAGGAACUGCGCUCAAUACUGGUAGACUUGAGGGAGAUAGAGGUGAGCGGAACUGAUGGUGGAGCGGUGAAAUGCGUUGAUAUCAUCGGGAACACCUGUGGCGAAAGCGGCUCACUGGAUCUCUUCUGACACUGAGGCACGAAAGCUAGGGGAGCGAACGGGAUUAGAUACCCCCGUAGUC
rnacentral:rRNA from 1 species